AGAUGUUAAAAGCAAGAGACAUGGGAGAGCAUCAUUCCUUUGAGAUUUUAUAAAUCAAACCAACUUUGGAGUUGUCUUGUCUGAUUUGGAGAGUCUUCAUUCUUGGUCUUCGCUCUUAGAGGCCACUGAUGAAGAGCAGGCGGUGAUUGGGAUGAAUCCUGGUCAGAGAGGAGAAUCUUCUUUCCCCUAAACAGCGGUGGUUUUAAAGGAGGACGCUGCCCUGGAUGAUGUAGAAGAUGUCACAUGCUGUGCUGAUGGGGUUUCUUCAUGACUACAUCAGUUAUGCUAAAGAGAUCAUGAAAAUUGACUGUGAUGCAUGAUCUGUAUUCAUGGACUAUGAAACAAACUGUAAGUGUAUAAUUUGUUAAAAAAAAAAAAGUUAAAUGCUUUUUCUGUGUUGUUUAGUAGAAGAGUUUACACUCUGUCAUUCAUACACCUGCUCACAUUCUUUCACACACACACACACACACGCGUCUGUUAAAUGUUAUAAUAUCAAAGUUAAUGUUGUGAUUUAUUUGUGUACUGUCAUGCCAGAAUAGUUGGAAAAAAACCUAACUAAUUGUAAAUUUAUUGUAUGUGUUUUUGUAUAUUUUUAUACAAUAUAUACAAUUGAACAAAGUCCAAUUUGAUCUUAAGUUAUAUUCAUCAAAUGUUCAAUGCUUUGUUUAUAAACUCUGUAGCUGUUAAUGCCAUCCUUUUCUGCAUUUCUUCUAACAUGUUACUUUUUGACUUUUCUCUUGUUUUUAAUAAAUAUUUUCCUUUUGAUAAUUAUUAUUUGUGUGUAAAAGUGAUAUUUAAAAUGAACAACAUUUGUAGGUUUAAUGCCUAGCUCAAUUUGGGUUAAUUUUAACGUAGAAAUGCAUUGUUUCCCCACAUGGCUGCACUCUGCGAGUUUAUUUUCUGCCAGCAGGAGGCGCUAAGAGCGGGAGAGGUAGGUUUCUCCGGUAACGGCUGCAGAGCGGUGCUGAGCUCACAAACGCUGCCUUAUCAAGCACAUGCGAAAUGAUAUCGAACAUUUUCUAAAUACAG